AAUCAAGUGCCUUAAGGGUGUUCGGUGGAUGCCUUGGCGCUGAGAGGCGAUGAAGGACGUGCUACGCUGCGAUAAGCCGUGGGGAGCUGCGAAGAAGCUUUGAUCCGCGGAUUUCCGAAUGGGGAAACCCACCUUCGAUAGCCGGAACUCCAAGACCUUGUGUGUUGGGGUUCGACCAGAAAUGCGGGAAAUCAAACCGCGAGGUUUUGGAUUUCCGGUUAUCAAGAGAAGGUAUGAGACCUCCGAAUAAAAUAGGAGGUUUUAAGCAAACCCAGGGAACUGAAACAUCUAAGUACCUGGAGGAAAGGACAUCAAUCGAGACUCCGUUAGUAGUGGCGAGCGAACGCGGACCAGGCCAGUGAUACAUCAAAGACAAUCGGAACCUGUCAGGAAAGCAGGGCCU
rnacentral:rRNA from 1 species